rnacentral:lncRNA from 1 species
AUACCUACUGUCCCUCAAGAGAACACAAGAAGUGCUUUAAGAGGCGGCGGAAGGUGAUCGAAUUCCGGUGAUGCGAGUUGUUCUCCGUCUAUAAAUACGCCUCGCCCGAGCUGUGCGGUAGGCAUUGAGGCAGCCAGCGCAGGGGCUUCUGCUGAGGGGGCAGGCGGAGCUUGAGGAAACCGCAGAUAAGUUUUUUUCUCUUUGAAAGAUAGAGAUUAAUACAACUACUUAAAAAAUAUAGUCAAUAGGUUACUAAGAUAUUGCUUAGCGUUAAGUUUUUAACGUAAUUUUAAUAGCUUAAGAUUUUAAGAGAAAAUAUGAAGACUUAGAAGAGUAGCAUGAGGAAGGAAAAGAUAAAAGGUUUCUAAAACAUGACGGAGGUUGAGAUGAAGCUUCUUCAUGGAGUAAAAAAUGUAUUUAAAAGAAAAUUGAGAGAAAGGACUACAGAGCCCCGAAUUAAUACCAAUAGAAGGGCAAUGCUUUUAGAUUAAAAUGAAGGUGACUUAAACACCUAGUUAACGCAUUUACUAAACGCAGACGAAAAUGGAAAGAUUAAUUGGGAGUGGUAGGAUGAAACAAUUUGGAGAAGAUAGAAGUUUGAAGUGGAAAACUGGAAGACAGAAGUACGGGAAGGCGAAGAAAAGAAUAGAGAAGAUAGGGAAAUUAGAAGAUAAAAACAUACUUUUAGAAGAAAAAAGAUAAAUUUAAACCUGAAAAGUAGGAAGCAGAAGAAAAAAGACAAGCUAGGAAACAAAAAGCUAAGGGCAAAAUGUACAAACUUAGAAGAAAAUUGGAAGAUAGAAACAAGAUAGAAAAUGAAAAUAUUGUCAAGAGUUUCAGAUAGAAAAUGAAAAACAAGCUAAGACAAGUAUUGGAGAAGUAUAGAAGAUAGAAAAAUAUAAAGCCAAAAAUUGGAUAAAAUAGCACUGAAAAAAUGAGGAAAUUAUUGGUAACCAAUUUAUUUUAAAAGCCCAUCAAUUUAAUUUCUGGUGGUGCAGAAGUUAGAAGGUAAAGCUUGAGAAGAUGAGGGUGUUUACGUAGACCAGAACCAAUUUAGAAGAAUACUUGAAGCUAGAAGGGGAAGUUGGUUAAAAAUCACAUCAAAAAGCUACUAAAAGGACUGGUGUAAUUUAAAAAAAACUAAGGCAGAAGGCUUUUGGAAGAGUUAGAAGAAUUUGGAAGGCCUUAAAUAUAGUAGCUUAGUUUGAAAAAUGUGAAGGACUUUCGUAACGGAAGUAAUUCAAGAUCAAGAGUAAUUACCAACUUAAUGUUUUUGCAUUGGACUUUGAGUUAAGAUUAUUUUUUAAAUCCUGAGGACUAGCAUUAAUUGACAGCUGACCCAGGUGCUACACAGAAGUGGAUUCAGUGAAUCUAGGAAGACAGCAGCAGACAGGAUUCCAGGAACCAGUGUUUGAUGAAGCUAGGACUGAGGAGCAAGCGAGCAAGCAGCAGUUCGUGGUGAAGAUAGGAAAAGAGUCCAGGAGCCAGUGCGAUUUGGUGAAGGAAGCUAGGAAGAAGGAAGGAGCGCUAACGAUUUGGUGGUGAAGCUAGGAAAAAGGAUUCCAGGAAGGAGCGAGUGCAAUUUGGUGAUGAAGGUAGCAGGCGGCUUGGCUUGGCAACCACACGGAGGAGGCGAGCAGGCGUUGUGCGUAGAGGAUCCUAGACCAGCAUGCCAGUGUGCCAAGGCCACAGGGAAAGCGAGUGGUUGGUAAAAAUCCGUGAGGUCGGCAAUAUGUUGUUUUUCUGGAACUUACUUAUGGUAACCUUUUAUUUAUUUUCUAAUAUAAUGGGGGAGUUUCGUACUGAGGUGUAAAGGGAUUUAUAUGGGGACGUAGGCCGAUUUCCGGGUGUUGUAGGUUUCUCUUUUUCAGGCUUAUACUCAUGAAUCUUGUCUGAAGCUUUUGAGGGCAGACUGCCAAGUCCUGGAGAAAUAGUAGAUGGCAAGUUUGUGGGUUUUUUUUUUUUACACGAAUUUGAGGAAAACCAAAUGAAUUUGAUAGCCAAAUUGAGACAAUUUCAGCAAAUCUGUAAGCAGUUUGUAUGUUUAGUUGGGGUAAUGAAGUAUUUCAGUUUUGUGAAUAGAUGACCUGUUUUUACUUCCUCACCCUGAAUUCGUUUUGUAAAUGUAGAGUUUGGAUGUGUAACUGAGGCGGGGGGGAGUUUUCAGUAUUUUUUUUUGUGGGGGUGGGGGCAAAAUAUGUUUUCAGUUCUUUUUCCCUUAGGUCUGUCUAGAAUCCUAAAGGCAAAUGACUCAAGGUGUAACAGAAAACAAGAAAAUCCAAUAUCAGGAUAAUCAGACCACCACAGGUUUACAGUUUAUAGAAACUAGAGCAGUUCUCACGUUGAGGUCUGUGGAAGAGAUGUCCAUUGGAGAAAUGGCUGGUAGUUACUCUUUUUUCCCCCCACCCCCUUAAUCAGACUUUAAAAGUGCUUAACCCCUUAAACUUGUUAUUUUUUACUUGAAGCAUUUUGGGAUGGUCUUAACAGGGAAGAGAGAGGGUGGGGGAGAAAAUGUUUUUUUCUAAGAUUUUCCACAGAUGCUAUAGUACUAUUGACAAACUGGGUUAGAGAAGGAGUGUACCGCUGUGCUGUUGGCACGAACACCUUCAGGGACUGGAGCUGCUUUUAUCCUUGGAAGAGUAUUCCCAGUUGAAGCUGAAAAGUACAGCACAGUGCAGCUUUGGUUCAUAUUCAGUCAUCUCAGGAGAACUUCAGAAGAGCUUGAGUAGGCCAAAUGUUGAAGUUAAGUUUUCCAAUAAUGUGACUUCUUAAAAGUUUUAUUAAAGGGGAGGGGCAAAUAUUGGCAAUUAGUUGGCAGUGGCCUGUUACGGUUGGGAUUGGUGGGGUGGGUUUAGGUAAUUGUUUAGUUUAUGAUUGCAGAUAAACUCAUGCCAGAGAACUUAAAGUCUUAGAAUGGAAAAAGUAAAGAAAUAUCAACUUCCAAGUUGGCAAGUAACUCCCAAUGAUUUAGUUUUUUUCCCCCCAGUUUGAAUUGGGAAGCUGGGGGAAGUUAAAUAUGAGCCACUGGGUGUACCAGUGCAUUAAUUUGGGCAAGGAAAGUGUCAUAAUUUGAUACUGUAUCUGUUUUCCUUCAAAGUAUAGAGCUUUUGGGGAAGGAAAGUAUUGAACUGGGGGUUGGUCUGGCCUACUGGGCUGACAUUAACUACAAUUAUGGGAAAUGCAAAAGUUGUUUGGAUAUGGUAGUGUGUGGUUCUCUUUUGGAAUUUUUUUCAGGUGAUUUAAUAAUAAUUUAAAACUACUAUAGAAACUGCAGAGCAAAGGAAGUGGCUUAAUGAUCCUGAAGGGAUUUCUUCUGAUGGUAGCUUUUGUAUUAUCAAACUUUUUUCAGAUAACAUCUUCUGAGUCAUAACCAGCCUGGCAGUAUGAUGGCCUAGAUGCAGAGAAAACAGCUCCUUGGUGAAUUGAUAAAAAUACAAUGAAGAGGCAAUGUCCAUCUCAAAAUACUGCUUUUACAAAAGCAGAAUAAAAGCGAAAAGAAAUGAAAAUGUUACACUACAUUAAUCCUGGAAUAAAAGAAGCCGAAAUAAAUGAGAGAUGAGUUGGGAUCAAGUGGAUUGAGGAGGCUGUGCUGUGUGCCAAUGUUUCGUUUGCCUCAGACAGGUAUCUCUUCGUUAUCAGAAGAGUUGCUUCAUUUCAUCUGGGAGCAGAAAACAGCAGGCAGCUGUUAACAGAUAAGUUUAACUUGCAUCUGCAGUAUUGCAUGUUAGGGAUAAGUGCUUAUUUUUAAGAGCUGUGGAGUUCUUAAAUAUCAACCAUGGCACUUUCUCCUGACCCCUUCCCUAGGGGAUUUCAGGAUUGAGAAAUUUUUCCAUCGAGCCUUUUUAAAAUUGUAGGACUUGUUCCUGUGGGCUUCAGUGAUGGGAUAGUACACUUCACUCAGAGGCAUUUGCAUCUUUAAAUAAUUUCUUAAAAGCCUCUAAAGUGAUCAGUGCCUUGAUGCCAACUAAGGAAAUUUGUUUAGCAUUGAAUCUCUGAAGGCUCUAUGAAAGGAAUAGCAUGAUGUGCUGUUAGAAUCAGAUGUUACUGCUAAAAUUUACAUGUUGUGAUGUAAAUUGUGUAGAAAACCAUUAAAUCAUUCAAAAUAAUAAACUAUUUUUAUUAGAGAAUGUAUACUUUUAGAAAGCUGUCUCCUUAUUUAAAUAAAAUAGUGUUUGUCUGUAGUUCAGUGUUGGGGCAAUCUUGGGGGGGAUUCUUCUCUAAUCUUUCAGAAACUUUGUCUGCGAACACUCUUUAAUGGACCAGAUCAGGAUUUGAGCGGAAGAACGAAUGUAACUUUAAGAGGCAUUUCAUCCUUCAUGAAGCCAUUCAGGAUUUUGAAUUGCAUAUGAGUGCUUGGCUCUUCCUUCUGUUCUAACUUCACAGAGAAUGCAGUUGUCUUGACUUCAGGUCUGUCUGUUCUGUUGGCAAGUAAAUGCAGUACUGUUCUGAUCCCGCUGCUAUUAGAAUGCAUUGUGAAACGACUGGAGUAUGAUUAAAAGUUGUGUUCCCCAAUGCUUGGAGUAGUGAUUGUUGAAGGAAAAAAUCCAGCUGAGUGAUAAAGGCUGAGUGUUGAGGAAAUUUCUGCAGUUUUAAGCAGUCGUAUUUGUGAUUGAAGCUGAGUACAUUUUGCUGGUGUAUUUUUAGGUAAAAUGCUUUUUGUUCAUUUCUGGUGGUGGGAGGGGACUGAAGCCUUUAGUCUUUUCCAGAUGCAACCUUAAAAUCAGUGACAAGAAACAUUCCAAACAAGCAACAGUCUUCAAGAAAUUAAACUGGCAAGUGGAAAUGUUUAAACAGUUCAGUGAUCUUUAGUGCAUUGUUUAUGUGUGGGUUUCUCUCUCCCCUCCCUUGGUCUUAAUUCUUACAUGCAGGAACACUCAGCAGACACACGUAUGCGAAGGGCCAGAGAAGCCAGACCCAGUAAGAAAAAAUAGCCUAUUUACUUUAAAUAAACCAAACAUUCCAUUUUAAAUGUGGGGAUUGGGAACCACUAGUUCUUUCAGAUGGUAUUCUUCAGACUAUAGAAGGAGCUUCCAGUUGAAUUCACCAGUGGACAAAAUGAGGAAAACAGGUAAUAGCCUGCAGCUGGUGUUUUGAGAAGCCCUACUGCUGAAAACUUAACAAUUUUGUGUAAUAAAAAUGGAGAAGCUCUAAAUUGUUGUGGUUCUUUUGUGAAUAAAAAAAUCUUGAUUGGGGAAAAAAGAUGGGUGUUCUGUGGGCUUGUUCUGUUAAAUCUGUGGUCUAUAAACACAGCACCCAUAAUUACAGCAUAAUCUUCAAGUAGGGUACGGACUUUGGGGGAUUGGUGCGAGGGUAGUGGGUGAGUGGCCUACUAAAAAGCCCAGUAACCCCCACAGGAAAAUAGGGAACUUCUUUUUAAGUAGCCUCCUUUCCACUAUUUAGUAAUUGGCUGUGAGCUGGGCUGGGGGAGAAAUGGGGCGGGGUGUGUGUGUCAUUGGAAAGCUCUCUUUUUUGUUUUUUUGAGACAGUCUCACUUUGUCCCCCAGGCUGGAGUGUAGUGGCAUGAUCUCUGCAAACUGCAACCUCCACUUCUGGGGUCCAAGUGGUUGUCCUGCUUCACCCUCCCUGUAGCUGGGACUACAGGUGCACACCACCACGCCUGGCUAAUUUUUGUAUUUUCAGUUAGAGACGUGGUUUUACCAUAUUGGCCAGGCUGGUCUCAAACUCCUGACCUCGUGUGAUCCACCCGCCUGGGCCUCUGAAAGUGCUGGGAUUACAGGUGUGAGCCACCAAGCCUGGCCGAUCCUUUUAAGUUUUUAAACCAGUUAAGCUCUUUGGUUCCCCCUCAGAGUCCCAAGGUCCUGGGUCACUCAGGAUCACAUUUUCCUUUAAUCAGUUGUCACUGGUCCCCUUUUGUCCCUUUGAACGUGCUGUGGGAUUAGUAGCAGCAUCUGGCUGUUGGAAGGACUGGCUGGGAUCUCAGGUGAAAUACCCUCCCUGGCCCUCCUUACCCUUAAGAUCUCCCUGAAAAGUCAGACCUUGCUUAUUGGAGUUUGAGAUGCAUUCUAGUAAACCCAGACCUACCAGAGAGAGGGACCCACGUCUGAAGAAUCUUCCAGCCUGGGGAACCUGUGACUGGCCACACCCUUAGCCUAAUGGAGGGGCCUCAGAAGCAGAACUACCUUUUUUUUUUUUUUUAAUGGUAUUACAUUUUGCAAAUGGAGAGGUAGACUCUGAUUGGGCCCCUUUUGACAACGCAGCAGAGCUGAGGUUUGAAUCCUAGUCAGUCAACACUUCAACCCCUAUGUUGCUGUUUCUUCAAUGUCUAGAAUGUUCUGAUAGAUGAAGCAAUGGCCCGGCAGGUCAGCAGCACACCAACCCCCAACCUACCCAGCCUGUAUAGGCCUUGGCCACAGGAGCUUUCUCUUCCCUUGAAGUGAUCUAAUGGGGGAUGGGGUAUCUGUCUCGCUGGUUAUGAAAGAAGCUGAGCUAGGUGCUCUCCUAAGUUGCUUAAGUGUCUUCUGAAUUGAUGCCCAGUCAGUUUCGUAUGGAGAAAGGUCUCUGUUUUUCCAAAGCAGAAGGUUCUGUGGAAGCACAAAUACUUUACUGGAGAGCAAAGGAGUACGAGUAGGAAUUGGGGGCCACGCACAGUGGCUCACGCCUAUAAUCCCAGGACUUUGGGAGGCCGAGGUGGGCAGAUCACCUGAGGUCAGGAGUUCGAGACCAGCCUGACCAACAUGGAGAAACCCCAUCUCUACUAAAAAUACAAAAUUAGCCGGGCGUGGUGGCGUAUGUCUGUAACCCCAGCUAUUCGAGAGGCUGAGGUAGGAGAAUCGCUUGGACCCGGGAGGCGGAGGUUGCAGUGAGCUGAGAUUGCGCCACUGCACUCCAGCCUGGGCAACAAGAGCGAAACUGUCUCAAAAAAAAAAAAAAAAGAAGAAGAAAGGCUGGGCACGGUGGCUCAAGCCUGUAAUCCCAGCACUUUGGGAGGCCGAGGCGGGCGGAUCACGAAGUCAGGAGAUUGAAACCAUCCUGGCUAACACGGUGAAACCCCGUCUCUACUACACACACACACACACACACACACACACACACACACACACACACAAUUUGCUGGGCGUGGUGGAGGGCGCCUGUAGUCCUAGCUACUCGUGAGGCUGAGGCAGGAGAAUGGCGUGAACCUGGGAGGC